UUUCAAAGCAACAAACAGACAAAUCCACUGUUUAACUUUUUCAGCUACUUUCACUCGAAUUAGCAAUAAAGAUACAAUUCAAAAUACUCCAAAAGACAUCACAGCCUCAGGCCUCUGUACUUAAGAGGAGACGGAAUGUAUACGUCAUCGAAAUUGUUCAUCUGGUAUUUAUUUAUUAUUGGCACAUUUCUACUUAACGCAUGGAAAUUAGAAGGAAAAACAGUUGCU